rnacentral:rRNA from 1 species
AGAGUUUGAUCAUGGCUCAGGAUGAACGCUAGCUACAGGCUUAACACAUGCAAGUCGAGGGGCAGCGGGGAGUAGCAAUACUCCGCCGGCGACCGGCGCACGGGUGCGUAACGCGUAUGCAACCUACCUUUAACGGGGGCAUAACACUGAGAAAUUGGUACUAAUUCCCCAUAACAUUCGAGAAGGCAUCUUCUUGGGUUAAAAACUCCGGUGGUUAAAGAUGGGCAUGCGUUGUAUUAGCUAGUUGGUGAGGUAACGGCUCACCAAGGCAACGAUACAUAGGGGGACUGAGAGGUUAACCCCCCACAUUGGUACUGAGACACGGACCAAACUCCUACGGGAGGCAGCA